AGCUCCUGCAGAUGAUGUCAUAUAUGCUGGUCACGUGACGAGAUACGACAGGGGCAGCCAUUUUGGCAGUCAUCGCGGCAGUAAAUUGACAGGCACUGGCAGACUGUCAAGGAUGGUGGAUAACUGCUGUGCACCAGGUUGCACAAAUAGGCGUGGGAAAAAGAAAGGUGUAUCGUAUUAUCGCAUUCCUAAAGACGCGGAGAGGAGGGAGAAGUGGAUUGGAGCGAUUAAAAGAGCCAGGAGCCUUCAGAAAAAGACUGAAAGAUGGGACCCCCCGGCCGUUGGCUUUCGCUUAUGCAGUGAUCACUUCAUAUCAGGGAGAAAGAGUGAUAAUCCGUUGAGUCCGGAUUUUAUCCCCUCAAUUUUCGAUUACCUUCCAUCUCCAGAGAAGAGGAGACAUAAAACGAGACUGGAGGUUUUUAACAGAAGGCAGCCAGCCACUUUGGUUGAGUACGAUCAAAAAUACAAACUAGCAAGUUACAGAUGCACUGCAGUAGCUAUCCAAGCUAAAAAACAUGCUAACGUGACACUUCCGUAGCUAGCCAAGCUAAUAAACAAACAAUGCUAACGUGACACUGCCUAUCAAACUGGAAUAAUUUAAUACUUACCCUUGCAGUGAUGAUGCCGAAGUUUUUGGAUGUAAGACUCCACAGUUGAAUGUUGUUUACGAAGCCGGACUGACACCAUUUGUAAGCCUCCAAGCUUUUGUACGCUCUGAGGGAGUCUCCUGAGUACACUGAUGGAAAGCUUACAAGAUAGCUGUGGAUGUCUGCGUAGCGCAAGUCGGGUACAUCGUCUUCAGAGCAGGAGGUUAUGCUCUUGAAAAGCACACCGGGUGAAUUAUAUGGGUCGCUUAUAUUUAAUCUCUCUAAUUUUGUACUAUAAAGCCGAAUUUCACUUGAAUUAAAAUGAGAAGUAUACUCGCUCGGUAAGAAAACACUGGCACCGGUGGUCAUGUUGACUGCCAAAA